rnacentral:rRNA from 1 species
ACGAGGGGAAAUUGACGGUACCGGAAGAAUAAGCCCCGGCUAACUACGUGCCAGCACCCGCGGUAAUACGUAGGGUCCAAGCGUUACCCGGAAUUAUUGGGCGUAAAGCGUGCGUAGGCGGUCCUUCAAGUCGGUUGUGAAAUCCCGGGGCUCAACCUCGGAAUUGCAUUGGUAACUGCAUGUCUUGAGUUCGGUAGAGGAGUGUGGAAUUCCUGGUGUAGCGGUGAAAUGCGCAGAUAUCUGGAGGAACACCGAUGGCGAAGGCAGCUCCCCUGGGCCUUUACUGACGCUGAUGCGCGAAAGCAUGGGAGC